rnacentral:lncRNA from 1 species
UCUGAUUUAUCUUUUAGAGAAAUUAUUAUUAGAAUCUAACUAGUACAUGUGACAUGGGUUAGUAAUGAAAUUGUGAGCUGCAAUAAAAUAUUUUCAUUAUGCCGAUGCUCCCCCAGUAUUGUUAUGUUAUUUUGUAGUUCUGAGCACAUGGCAACUCGGUUUGAGGGUGUGUGAAUAGAUUUGCAAGUGAUUUUUUGUUGUAGAACUUCCGUUGGAGUUUUAUGAGCGAUUCAACAUGAUUUUGGUAAAUUUCUAAUGGAGAACUAAUUCCCUGCACUCGUUUGUCGCAAUUAGAAGUGAUACUGACUAUAUGUUAAUGCAGAUUAAUGUCCAAGCAAGCAGAUACUACAACUAAAGAUCAAAGCCUAGACGAGCUUUUUAUUCGGCCUGCGAUCAUCGCACAAUUGUUAGUAAUUUAUUUUCAAAUGGAAGUAUCUUAUUGAUCAAAUGUGUGCCAAGGACAACAACGAAGCUCUGCGAAACUUUGUCAUGCUUUCUUCACUAUUCUAGCUGCUUCAAGGUUUCUUCCUUAGUAGCUUUGUCGAAUAUUUUGGUUUUCUGCACCAUUUUAAUUCCAAUUUAAUAUUUCAGAUGACCUUUGUUACUCACAAAUACGACAUGUUUAGUUUUUUUCAUAUCACUUAUUGGACAAGUACUAUCAUGUCUUUUUUGUUAAGAUUCCAACCUAGAGCUCCGAGUUAUAACUUUCAUGUUGUUCUUUGUUGCAAUGGUCGAUGGUUUUUUCUAACUCAUUCAUGCUGAUGUAUUUAUGUCUUUGUUUCUAAUAGGUUGAUUCGUAAGUCAUCUUUCAAGAAGUUGAUAUGGACAAAGGAGGAUCAAAACAACUCUAGCUGCCUUCAUGAGGUCACGAGAAGAGGCAUCCAACAAGGUUUCAAGUUUUGAUUAAGGUGGGAGCUAAG